AAUAGCGGAGGAAAAGAAACUAACAAGGAUUCCCCUAGUAACGGCGAGUGAAGAGGGAAAAGCCCAAAUUUGUAAUCUGGCUCUUUCAGAGUCCGAGUUGUAAUUUUAAGAACUGUUUUCCGUGCUGGACCAUGUACAAGUCUGUUGAAAAACAGCAUCAUUGAGGGUGAAAAUCCCGUACAUGAUAUGGACUACCAGUGCAAUGUGAUACAGUCUCUAAGAGUCGAGUUGUUUGGGAAUGCAGCUCAAAGUGGGUGGUAAAUUCCAUCUAAGGCUAAAUAUAGGUGAGAGACCGAUAGCAAACAAGUACCGUGAGGGAAAGAUGAAAAGAACUUUGGAAAGAGAGUUAACAGUACGUGAAAUUGUUAAAAGGGAAACAUUUGAAGUUAGACUUGUUAUUGUUGGUUCAACUUCUUUAUUGAGGUGUAUUCCAAUGGUUAACAGACCAGCAUCAAUUUUUGGGUGUUGGAUAAGGGUUUAGGAAAUGUAGCAACCUUGGUUGUGUUAUAGUCCUUUACUUUGAUACAAUGCUUAGGAUUGAGGAACGCAGUAAGCUUUGUAGCAGAUUUCUUUGGAGAUCUUCUUACUACGGAUGUUGGUGUAAUAGCUUUAAAUGAC
rnacentral:rRNA from 1 species